UUGACGGUACUGUAAGAAUAAGGAUCGGCUAACUCCGUGCCAGCAGCCGCGGUAAUACGGAGGAUCCAAGCGUUAUCCGGAAUCAUUGGGUUUAAAGGGUCCGCAGGCGGUUUUUUAAGUCAGAGGUGAAAUCCUGCAGCUCAACUGUAGAAUUGCCUUUGAUACUGAAAGACUUGAGUUAUUGUGAAGUGGUUAGAAUGUGUGGUGUAGCGGUGAAAUGCAUAGAUAUCACACAGAAUACCAAUUGCGAAGGCAGAUCACUAACAAUAUACUGACGCUCAGGGACGAAAGCGUGGGUAGCGAACAGGAUUAGAUACCCUGGUAGUCCACGCCGUAAACGAUGGAUACUAGCUGUAUGUCUACUUCAGGUAGAUGUGUGGCCAAA
rnacentral:rRNA from 1 species